UGAUGUAAGUUGAAGUACUGAACGAACCCUGUCAUAUGAAGCAGAGCAGUUUAAUGUGUGUCUGAAAAGGAUGUCGUGAAUAACCUUUAGCCAAACGUCUCCAUGGGAACCUGAGGGGUGGUUAUUUCAUUCGUUGCAUCUCCAGGCAAAUGUUUUCAAGACGUAUCGAGUUCUCUUUAAAUGUAACAAGCAGUAAGUUACCUCCAAUAGAAGCUAACGGUACGACGAACUACACGCAGCAGACGACGUCCCGGUGUAUUAACGUCGAGGCCAGUAAGCUGAAUUGUUUAUUGACAGGCGUUUUGAAGGAUGACAUCAACAACAUGCUGUCCAGCUCCAUGUCAUAACAGAAAUGCGUUGACCUGGCUUCUAUGCCCAAACAUUGAUCAUGUGUCCUCUGCAUUGCAAAUUCUUGUUCACCUUGCUCAGGAGGACAAAGGUGAACUUGUCGAAAAGGUUCUUCAGCACUGCAACCCAGAAUUAUGCAUAGAUGCUCUUCGAAAACUGCUGAAGUCACCUGCCUCAUGGCUGAGUAGUACUGGAGCUUGUAUCUUUGGGGUCCUGCUGGAAAAUGAGUCCAUGGUGCUGAAACUUCAGAAGGGGACCAAAGGGGAAAGCAAUCUCAUAUGUGACCUUGUUCAGAUGUUUACUGAAGAUGAUCCUGAUGUUGUGAUGAAUGCUGCUGGAGCCAUAGCCUCAUUGGUUGAAACUACAUCAGGACGGACAUGGUUCCUUCAGAUCCAAAGUGUGUUCAGUGGGGUCCUUGAGAGCCUAUCAGUUCUUCUAGAGAAUGAGAGAGAGAAUACGGUUAACUCUGCAGCACUUAUUCUUGCACGACUGUCCCAGUGUGAAGAAACCUGUGAAAAGGUUUUAUCCCAUUCAUCUGCCUGCAAGAUCUUCAGAUGUUUAACACAAUGCUUGUCGUGUAGUCACAAAGACACAGCCAUGAAUGCGGCAUUUGCUGUUGGCCGUCUGUGUGGUAGCAAACAAGCCAAGAUCCUCAUUCUGAGAGUGGCCAAAGAGCAUCAGCUGGUUAGUCGCCUGCAGACUCUGCUGUUGAGUGGGUCAGGAGUGGAGAUGGGGCAAACAGUGUGCUUUGCUCUGAGCUGCUUAGCAAAUGAGGAAGAUGGCCAUGCUCUGCUGAUGGAAAGCACCUGUGUCCCUACAUUGCUGAAUGGUCUUUUACAGCUGUUGCAGAGCCCAGACCCAGACAGUAUCUGGUUUGCUGCUAUGACAGUACGAAUACUGGUUUCCCGGCCGAGUGGAGUGGUCCCUGUCAGGAUCCAUUGCUCUCUGCAUGAGCAGUUGAAGAUUCUCUCUAUGUCACCAUCCACUGGGCUAGAGCUGCAGGAGGAGGUCAACAUGUGUCUCAGGAAACUGGAGCGUUUAUCCAAACCACAUCCAGUGAUGGUUACAAACCUCUCAUCAACGAGCUGCACUGUAUCAUGGGAAAAGUGUAGACCUGAAAGUGGCCUGGAGGUCAUAUACAGUCUCUUUCACAAGGAUGUCAUGCUGUACCAUGGCCUGUUGUGUCAGGUGACCAUACCUAUUUCUCCCAAGCAAUCUAAGGAGCCCCUUUCCCUACAGCUCAACCUGUCUACACCUGAUGGUGACAUUAGUCCUUUCAGUGAACCUGUGGUUAUUACUCCAGAGCAGCUGGACACGAGACUUUAGCCUCCACGAGAGCUCUGUGUGAUUGGCUCUACAGCUACACAGGUACGCCUGUGCUGGAUAGAACCAGAGGGAGGAGCCAAACCCAAAUCAUACCAGAUCUACUGUAAUGACACACUGGUGAAGACCACUGCUCUGCUGGGGGCUACAGUUGGCUGUUUAUCUCCUGGCACCUCCUAUCAGCUGAGUGUGAGUUCACUUGGUCCAGGGGACACAGAGAGUCCUAGAGCAGUAACUGAGGUGAGGACAGCGGAAGAUCAAGAUCAUGCUCCUUCUGCGGUCACUGUAGUUGUCCUGGGACGACAUGAACUGCAGAUAAACUGGGGAGCUCCAGUCGCUCCUUUGGGGAGACUCUUCAAAUAUGAGCUAAGUCUAAAUGGGUGUGUGGUGUACCUGGGCACAGAAAGGUCAUACACUGCUUGUCGCCUGUCUGCUAACACAGCAUACACCUGUGUUGUGACAGCUAUCACCUCCAGGGGGCGCUGCCAGAGCAGUCCGGUCACAAAGAAGACAGCACGGGAUGAAUUCCUGCACUCACAUAGGUAUCUGCACUCUCAUAGCCACCAGUCAGCCUCAAAACACUCCACUCCUUCUUCAAGCAUCCAAGUGAUAAGUGAAGUCAAAAAGAAUGACACAGUUUCUCCAGCUACACUCAAUUCUAAGGUCCAUCCCACUAUGAUCCCGCACAGAGCCCUUGACCUUAGAAAAGACAGGCACAGGCAAACAUCAGUUCCUAAAGGGAUUCAACCUUCCAGUCACACAUCUAAGGAACAUUAUGAGUACAUGUUCCGGUCCUUGACCAUAUCAUCAACCCCAGAGGAUCUCAGACACUUUAAGGCCAAGAUCAGCCCAGCCAGACCGCAGUGGAACUCAGACAGAAAAGUUCCCAUAGACAGAGAGAAACUUCCAGGCAUCAGCAAACAAAUCUCAGAGGAUGUGAGACUGCUUCAGCCUGUUUCGUUUAGUUGGUCUAAUCUGGAAUGGACCAAACAACAUCAAAACAGACCACAAAGAAAUAAAGCCAUUUUGAAGGUCCAAUGUCAGGAAAGAGGAAGACGAUAUCAAAUAUCAUCACAAACCAAACUCACGUAACAAAUUGUGGACAUCUAGGCUACCAAAAUCAGUGUUUAUAUUAAUACAUAUUUAUUUUAUUUGAAUAUAAAUGAAUGGAUUUAAGAUGUUUCUUUCUCAAUAAUUAACAAAAUCUCAGUAAUAAAUAUAAUAAAUGUUUUAUGUUUAAUUUAUUGGUCCCCUGCAUUAACAGUUUAUCUAUGGUAUGUUCAUUCCUGAAUUGGAUUAAUGUAUGCAGUCCAUAAGAGGUCACUGUAGAGAAUAUUUAGCUUGUUAGUCAUUUCAGAAUCAGAAUCAGAAGAGCUUUAUUACCAAGUAUGUUUACACACACAAGGAAUUUGACUUGACGACAGGAGCUUCCAGUGUAGAAGAAAGUACAAACAUAGUGCAGACAUACCUUAUAGCAGACAUAUAUAGGAAUAACAUGGUAGGGAUGUAAUAUAACACCAAUAAAAAAAAAAAAAAGCAUUAAAUAAUGUACUAUAUUCACAAUUCACAUUUCCUUCGCUGCACAUGCAGACGUUUCACAACAAUAACAAAGUGAAGCUGUAGAAACUGUAAGAUUAUAGUCCAUAAUUAUAGCAGGAUGGUCAACAUCGGUCUCACUAAAGUUGAUGAUGAGGUUGUAGCAAAGCACCCGGUGGGUAUAUAUCAUAAUGCAUGACUGCUACCUGACUGAUGUGACAUUUUUACCAUCAAUUACUGCCAUAAAUGUCAUUCAUAGAGGAGUCCGGGGAAUGUUGUCACUCUGUUUACUCCAAUGUAUGUUUCUAACGGUAUGUCUUUGUGUUUGUGAAAGAAAAUGACAAAAAAGAAUGCUUUAAUAUCUUUUUUUGUAACACCAAAAGAUUGGGGACCAAUUCUCACUAUUAACUAGUAAUAGCAUGCAUAUUACUAGCAUAUUCGCUGUUUAUAAUGCCUUAUUCUGCAUGACCAUAUUUUAGAACCCUUAAUCCUACCUCAUAUCGGUCUCCAAAUAGCGAUCAAAUUGAGAUUUUUGCCAUAGUUCCCUUGUAAAUUUCAUUUUUUUUUUCUACUGAGAAAGAACAAAAUAGUAAUCUUAAGUUUAUGUUCUCACUGUCUCAUACAAAAGCCACUUUUCCACCAAAAUUACCUGAAACAAUUUGUCCCAGGUACCUUUUUCUCCCCAGACCUGUUGCUGUCUGUGUUUCCAUCGUGGUCUAAAGUACCGAGGAGAUUAGGCAAAUAGUCUGGUGAAUGUAGGUCUGUGUGCGUUUCUCAAUACCCAGUACGCAAAUUUCAGAUUUGCAUCCUCGGUAGUUCACCAGUUUGAUUCGAAAAUGUGUACUCCUAUGGACAGGACAACGGUAAUUCUGCAAACAGCAGCGUACUUGAUAACGUCAGUCAGCUCACCUUGGCUACUGCAAUUUUCCUCACUGUAUUUACAAUAAGACUAAAUAAAAAAAAAAAAGUGAAAGUGACGUGACAUUCAGCCAAGUAUGGUGACCCAUACUCAGAAUUCAUGCUCUGCAUUUAACCCAUCCGAAGUGCACACACACAGAGCAGUGAACACACACCCGGAGCAGUGGGCAGCCAUUUUAUGCUGCGGCGCCCGGGGAGCAGUUGGGGGUUCGAUGCCUUGCUCAAGGGCACCUAAGUCAUGGUAUUGAAGGUGGAGAGAGAACUGUACAUGCACUCCCCCCACCCACAAUUCCUGCCGGCCCGAGACUCGAACUCACAACCCUUCGAUUGGGAGUCCGACUCUCUAACCAUUAGGCCACGACUUCCCACGAAAUAUGAUAUCAAACACCACUGCCUCUUUUUGUUUAUCAGAGCCAGUAGCAAAUGUCAGAAGGACUAGCCGAGUUGAGGCUGCUCUCGUCUGUAAACAUAAGCACUGAGCGCCCGCUGAUCGCGUGGAGCUCACGUCUUCGAAAUCAGCAAAGCAUAUUUUCAAAUAGGCGCUGUCUUUAUUAAUAAACCGCAGAUUUGAGUUUUAAACAACUACAUUCUCGACUGAAAUACUUUAAAAACUACAUUUCAUGACACAAUAACAGUAAUAUUUUUAAAAAAUUAUGUGAAUAGGUGGUUGAAAUACAAUGCUGCGUGAACUCAACCAGUUAGCAUGUUCAGCGCCCAAGUCCCGCCCUCAAAAUUUCUGGACCUUUGAAAAAGUGCUAUCUCGUGAGCAGGGACUUUCUGAGGGGCAAUUUUUUACCCAGAACUUUAUUUAGAUCCUAGUUCCUGCUGUGGAAAUAUACCUUUUAUCCAAUCAAAAAAAAAAAAAAGAUGAGCACCACUAAUUCUUCCUGGUCAGUUCAUGAGUCAUCCCUUACAUAUUAAUUUUUGAAUCCAUAUUUUGGUGUAUGUGAGCAACAGUUGUCUAAUUUGUGUCUGUUUUAUUUCUUAUAAGGAAGUUUUAAGGGAGAAACAUCUAAGCAAAUUUACUUAUAUGAAAUAUACCUGAGUGCAAGCUGUGUAAAUACAACCUCUGAUUAAUAAUUUUAUUUUAUUAACUAAUUUUGUUCAUUUUGCUUUGGGUGAAAAUGUUACACCUCUCAACAGGGCACAGCUGGUUUAAUUUUUGCACAGCGAACACUUCAGGAAAGAAUCCCAUAUCCCCUUCAGUGGAACCUUCUGGUGUCUAUUGGAAGAACCACAAAAUCCUGCAACACCUGCAGAUCCCAAAGUCACAGGAUAUGGGGAUGUGAUGGAAUGAGCUCAAACCUUUGUUUGCCACCUUCGAUUUUAGGAGGAUGUUUAGCCUUUCUAAACUAAAAGUGAUUUUGGUUCUGGUUAUAGCUGGUUAAAACAAUUUUUAAUUUUUUUUUUCAUAUAUACUGUGUGUGUCAAUAAAUAAUUUAUAUUAAGAAUUGUUUUGCGUGCACUUGGCUUAAUCAAAUGUCUUAUGAAGUCCCAGGAUUGUGGACAAUUGUGAUAUGUAUUUACUCAACUGCUGUAUUUUAUUGGACACAUUUUUAAUUUAUGAGUUAGUAACAUUACCGGCUGCCAUUGAACAGUAUUUUUUUUGUAUGUAUUCUUUGUAGUUUAAUAGUUUUUCACAGUAAUUUAUUCUAUUUCUAUACAUCAGAAUUACUAUUUAGCAUUUAUUAAACUUUAAUAAUUAGCAUUUUGUUAUACUUUAUUAUAAGGUGCCCUUGUUACAGUGUAACACAACUAAGUAGACUAGUGAGUAAUAUUACUGAACAAAAUGUAUUUUAGUUUCUUGUAAUUGUGUGUAAUUUACUGUUAUAAAGUAUAUGCAACAAGAACAUUGUAAAA
ensembl:lncRNA